rnacentral:rRNA from 1 species
GACGAACGCUGGCGGCGUGCCUAACACAUGCAAGUCGAGCGAGGACAGUCCUUCGGGGCUGAGCCGAGCGGCGGACGGGUGCGUAACACGUGAGCAACCUGUCUCCGUGCGGGGGAUAAC